UACGUAGGGCGCAAGCGUUGUCCGGAAUUAUUGGGCGUAAAGAGCUCGUAGGCGGCUUGUCACGUCGGAUGUGAAAUCCCGGGGCUCAACCUCGGAACUGCAUUCGAUACUGCUUUGCUUGAGUACUGGAGAGGAGAUUGGAAUUUACGGUGUAGCAGUGAAAUGCGUAGAUAUCGUAAGGAAGACCAGUGGCGAAGGCGGAUCUCUGGACAGUUACUGACACUGAGGCACGAAGGCCAGGGGAGCAAACGGG
rnacentral:rRNA from 1 species